UAGUUGGUGAGGUAAUGGCUCACCAAGGCGACGAUAGGUAGCCGGCCUGAGAGGGUGAACGGCCACAAGGGGACUGAGACACGGCCCUUACUCCUACGGGAGGCAGCAGUGGGGAAUAUUGGACAAUGGACCAAAAGUCUGAUCCAGCAAUUCUGUGUGCUUGAUGAAGGCCUUCGGGUUGUAAAGAGCUUUAAGUAGGGAAGAAGAAAGUGACGGUACCUACAGAAUAAGCGACGGCUAAAUACGUGCCAGCAGCCGCGGUAAUACGUAUGUCGCAAGCGUUAUCCGGAAUUAUUGGGCAUAAAGGGCGUCUAGGCGGUUUAGAAAGUCUGAUGUGAAAAUGCGGGGCUCAACCCCGUAUUGCGUUGGAAACUACUAGACUAGAGUAUUGGAGAGGUAAGCGGAACUACAAGUGUAGAGGUGAAAUUCGUAGAUAUUUGUAGGAAUGCCAAUUGGGAAGCCAGCUUACUGGACAAAUACUGACGCUGAAGCGCGAAAGCUAGGGGAGCAAACAGGAUUAGAUACCCUGGUAGUCCUAGCUGUAAACGAUGAUCACUGGGUGUGGGGGGUCGAA
rnacentral:rRNA from 1 species